GACGAACGCUGGCGGCGUGCCUAACACAUGCAAGUCGAACGAAGUUAGAUAAUGGAAUUCUUCGGAAGGAAGCUAUUUAAUUUAGUGGCGGACGGGUGAGUAACGCGUGAGUAACCUGCCAUUCAGAGGGGGAUAACGUUCUGAAAAGAACGCUAAUACCGCAUAACAUAUUGAAGCCGCAUGGUUUUAAUAUCAAAGGAGCAAUCCGCUGAAUGAUGGACUCGCGUCCGAUUAGAUAGUUGGUGGGGUAACGGCUCACCAAGUCGACGAUCGGUAGCCGGACUGAGAGGUUGAACGGCCACAUUGGGACUGAGACACGGCCCAGACUCCUACGGGAGGCAGCAGUGAGGGAUAUUGGGCAAUGGGGGAAACCCUGACCCAGCAACGCCGCGUGAGGGAAGACGGUUUUCGGAUUGUAAACCUCUGUCCUCUGUGAAGAUAAUGACGGUAACAGAGGAGGAAGCUCCGGCUAACUACGUG
rnacentral:rRNA from 1 species